UGAAACGAUUCAUCGAGUAACUCGAGUAACUCGAUUACAAAAAAUCCUCGAGGAAAUUUAUCUGCCUCGAAGCUUCGCUAAAUUUAUUGUAUUGUAAUAAGCAAUGCUGUUAAAUACGCAGCACACUGGUCUAGCCGGAGGGUUUUUGUGUUGCACAACGCUACCACUUCCGUUAGCGCCUGGAGCACAUUUGCUAAGUCUGUAGCUAUGGAGGGAACCGGAGAAUGCUCAGAAGGAGAACCCCGAAAGCGACAAAAAAUGUCAAAAGUUUGGGAACAUUUUGGGCUAAACAGAAAGGACAACACAGCGCAAUGCAUCCACUGCAAAGCAGAAUUGGCGUACCACAACAGCACGACAUCAAUGUUGCAGCAUCUGAAGAGAAAACACCCGCUACAUGCAUCCAACUCGUACACGGUUGCCAACAGUGAACUGAAGAGUCAUACGUUGGACAGCUUUGUUCAAAGGGUUCCAGGAUGUUCGGUUGUUCAAGCAGCUGAGUUCACAAACAGCAUUUUAAAUAUUCUACCUCAGAUUUGAAACUUAUAAUUUGAAUGUAUAAAAGGCAGUAUUCUCUGGUUUGCCUUAACUUUUCUAUUUAAAGCUAAUGAAUAUUUUUUUACUCUUUUGUGUUAGCACUGAAAAAAGCAAGGAAUUUGUUGCACCUUAGACUUAGAUUUUAUUGUAUAAAAUGCAGUAUUUACUAUUUUGUCUAAACUUGUUUUAUUUUUAAAUCAAGUAUUUUCUUUAUUUAUCUUUUCUGUUUGAACUUUAGAACAAAAAAGCAAGAGAUUUGCUGUACUACUGAUUUGAAACUUUACUGGAGGUUUAAUGUUAUUGCGUUAUUAUCAAUAAAAUGUUAGAGUUAAAUGA